CCACGAAAAUGGCUGAGCCAUCAAAUCUUUAUGCUUUAUGGUUGAACACAACAAUGACCAAUGAAGCUUGAUGCAUCACCUAUUUCGAUUG
rnacentral:sRNA from 1 species